AAGGUGCGGUGGGGAGGGUGUUGGAGGUGCUCCACCUCCUCGGGGAGCGGGUGUGCGGCAACACGGCCGGGGUUAACCUCGGCCGAGGUGCUGCGGGAGGGAUGGAACCCCUGCCAAGCCGGCUUUGGGGGAGCGGUCGAGCCCCGCUUUGUGCGGGCGGCAGCGGCAGCGUUCUCCGCAGCGGGCUGGGCUGCCGGCCUGGGGGCUGUGAGGGGGGCGCCACCCGGGGCAGGUCUGGUUAGAGCUGAGUUCUCUAAGUGCACUUGAAGACAGGGUGAGAAGUGAAGGCUUAAAGCAGACGUCUGAGGCAGAAAUCCCCGAGAUAUAUAUUUAGCUUAGUUUUUUGCAAGUUUAUUUAUUAUGGGUGGCCCUAAUUAUAGUCAAUCCAAACUUAUGGACUGUCUAGGCCAGGGGUUUUCAAACUCAUUUUCACCGGUGGCCACAUCAGCCUCACAGUUGCCUUCAAAGGGCCGAAUGUAAUUUUAGGACUGUAUAAAUGUAGGAGUAGUUGCAUUUGUACAAAAAAGUCAGGUAAAUCGCCCUGACCAGAGAUUCUCAAGUGUCUUAUGAGUUUACAACUAUACCUCUUAACAUCCAGAUAUGAACUUUGCAACUGGGACAAGGUACAAACUCACAGCUUGCUAAGUUAAGUCUGCUUCCUGACAGAAAUCAUGAUUUGUACUGGAAAUGUUUCAAAUAUCCUUGAGGUUAAUGAAAAAAACAAACAAACAAACAGUCUUUCUCUUAAAUUGGUAAAUUUUAGUACGCCAGAAUGACUUAAAACAGCAAUAUCCUUCCCUUAAAGUACUCUCAUUUUCAUAAAAGAAGAGAAAAUACUGUGAGUUUUAACAGACCAUCUUAAAUCAGGCAUCCUCCAUUUUCAAGACCCUUCUUGGUUUAGGGAUUUCAAUGGUGUAUUUUCACUUAGGGUAGGUGUGCAAGGUGAAUGCUGCUUCAAAACUACACAACAGAAGAUUUACCUAAUAAUCUAGUUUCACCUACAGCUUCUUUUCACACAGUAAUACAAAAAUCUUUUUGUGCCUAGUUUAUCUCAUGAGGUAAGCUAAGUCUUCUAAAUUGAGUUCAUGUUGUAACAAGUUUAUUUUUCCACUGUGGUUAAAAAUUCUGCAGGACUGUGCUGUUGUAUCCAGGGCAGAAACAAUUACACUUCCCUACCUAUCAGUACUUGUGGAAAUAGUUGUCUGGGAAAGCCGAGGUAUAUACUCAGUCUUUAGAAGGUGCGGUGCUGCUCCACAACAUCUAGUGUAUGAUAUGUAUAGACAUCUGUCUACAGUUCUGUUUUGUUUUCAAUAAAAUGUUUUAAGCAUCAUUAUUACCCUUGAAGUAUCAGAAAGCCUAUUUUUGUGGUUUGCCAUUUCAGAAAUUAUGAAUUUAUAUUGCAGUCAGCAAGAUAUUUUAAUGCAUCUAACCCAACUAUUUCUGGGCUUAUUCACAUGCAUAUGGCAAGUGAUGUUCUUAUGCAGCUGCUGGAUUUGGAUUCUCACAGAUUUUUAGGAGGUUAUCUCUUUUAUGAAAGGUGUGUAAAUGAUUUACUAUUUUUUCAGUUAGUUUGCUUUCAUACGUGAGGAAAAAGAAAUCCUAGCUGCAAAAUGAACAACUUCAUGAUUGUUACUCCCAGAAGUAAAUGUUUCAGCUGCUGAUAUGUCCUUUAUCCCAUCUAUUUAAGAAACUACAAGUUCUCACUGUCCAUAAGCAAAGGAGAUGUAUCGUUAGUUACACUUGCUGACAUACAGUACCCAAUGAAAGAACAUUGCAGUAAAGGAAGAAACCUUGUAUUGACACGGUUCUCAAGAAAAUAGAUGCUUGGGCUUGCUUACCUUUUCAAUUACAGCAUACAGUCCACAAAGACAACAUAGACACAUGAAUAGGUAAUUACUCGUUUUACUGAUGUUGAAACAAAAAAUGUCAGCAUGUGUGAACUAUGGAGAAGAAACUGCCCACUUCUAAGGUGACGGUUCUGUGCAAACAAGAGAAGUGACUGACAAUGUCUCAUACUGGCUGUGGGAGCCCUCGCUAACUGAGCCCUGCUGAACUGAACAUGUGUGCUCCCAUAUCUGUUUCAGGUUUUCUGCCAUGAAGUUUCCCUUCUCUGAUCUGCUGUUCAGAAUACUCAGCAACCAGCCCUUCACAUGACCUACCUGAGGUGUGACACAGCGGUGCAGUGCUCAGAGGGCAGUGUGUUAUCUCCAUUGGUGCUGACAUAUGCCAAAACAGCAGUCUGGAGGACUGGGGUUUAAAGAUGCAGUGUCACCUUCUUGAACAACAGAACAGAGACCAAACAUCAUGGAUUGCUCUUCUGAAGGAGCAUAUCCCAGCAACUUUGCCUGGAAGUAGCAAAAGUGUGGAUAAAAGAUUUGCAUUUGAAAAUAUAGGCCUUCUUGUUUGUUCACUUCUAAAUGCAAAAAAUUUAGGGGACACAAGUUACAUUAUGAAUUCUACAAGCAACAAUAGAUCCAAAGAUUGUGCCUCCUUUGAAGUGUCAGUCACAACUCCAUAUUGAUAUGGCCCCAGACUCAGAGAAAGGAAGGAAUGGAAAGCAGGUUGAAUGACAAAGGAAUGUCAAGAUCUUACAACAUGGAGCUCCUAUGUGGGAAAGCAGCGGUUGUUAGUAGUUAUUCAGAAGCUUUGGUGCUGAAGUGCUGAUCUAGCACACUAAGGAGUGGCUGAGCAAAGGAAAGAAAAUCAGUGAUGGCAGGAUACAGAUUUUCUCUCAGAGUUGUCACAAUGCUUUCUACAGCAUCACUCCAGAUAUCAAAUCGUCUGGAAGAAUCACUUCUGUCCUGAUGUCUACUAAAUUGUUGAAUAAUAUGGGCAAAGACAAAAGAACGAAACCAUAGUAUCAUCAUUCCUGGAAAAGAAUACUUCCUUCCUUGGUUACAGCUGUGAAGACAAGGUACAUGUUGAUACAAAAGAAGUGAUUUUGCUCUGAACUUCGGGCUGUCUGCCGCAGUGUUGCCUCAGGGCUUCAAAACUGAGGGGUUUGAAUCUGGAGCAAGAGCUUGUUAACUGCAGAGACAGACUCUGGUCCUACAAGAAUCCAGAGAGGCUCACCAGAGGUCCUAAGAGCCUGACACUGCCCCUAGAAGUGACAGCGCUACUCUGAAUGGCCUGCUCUGCAUCACUCCAGUUCAGCUAAUCCAACAAGGGCAAUAUGUAUCCUGCUACAGUCAGACAACAUAACUGGAUGUAGCAGCCUCCCUGGCUCAGAGGGAAGGACAUGGGCUGCGAGGACACAUUCAGAAGAACCCCUGGGAGCCAGUCUGUGUGCACAGUCUUCAAAGUGUCUUUACAACAAACACACUACAUAGGAAAUGAAAGCUUGUUAAAACCCGAGUAUCUCAAGAAUAAAAACCUUAUUGGGACAUGCCUGGAAGUACAGAUCACCCAGCAGCAAGACAAGUCCACAGCAGCUCUGUGGCAGAGCGUGAGCGAUGGGUGACGUUUGCCCCUAUUCACUGCUCUGGCUGCCUCGCUACAGUUCCUGCUUCAUAAAAUAAUCUUUCAAGAAUGGAAGCUAUCAUAAGCAACAUCGACUAAACAAGUGUUGCUGACAGCUGCAGAUUGAUUUACACUGGCAAUGCACUGAAAACUACAUGUGAAAGGACGGGAUGUCUACAGACUUCAGCGAAAAGGAUUUUAUCUGUAUCAGUGCCACUGGUUUAUAAUCCCUGGAGACCUGAGAUAGUGUUGAUGAGAGAGGAUUGCUGUACACGCCUCUCACCAAACCUGUCUUUUACUGAAUCCAAGAGACGCUGGUGAUGGCACUGAGAACUCUGCUGGACAAAACCAGCCAAUCACGCUGCAGCCCAGAGCUCUUUUACAGCUGCAAAAGGGUGCAGCAAAAUCAGAUAAGGAUUUAAAUGAACACCUAACGCACUAAGCAUCAUCUCUGGCUGAAUGGUACAGAAAUACUUUAUUCACAUUUCUUGUCCAGUACUGUGAUCCGGGAGGCUGGUCAGCACUGAAUACAUAAGGGCUGUGCUGCUUAAACACUUAACUAGACACCAAGAAAAUGGAAAUCACAGCAGAACCUAGAGAAAAAUAAUGUCUUCUUACAGCUGUGAAGUCAUUGCAUCCUAUUAGUGGAAAAUCAGUAAACAGCACACAAGCUCUGCAGCAUGAGCAGUACUACUGAGCUACUGACAGCACAGGCACAAGCACAGCAGGGCAAUUACAUCCCACACAUACCUAUAUAGUCACAUCUCCAAAGAGGUAAACAGCAUUAUCAUGCCAAGAUAAUAAGGAAACAUGUUACUGUUUGCACUUAUGCUAGCUUGAGGACAUGCCUUUUAAAAAAUGGGUAUGAUCAGCCUCCAGCAAGAUUGGAGACUGCUCGCCUGUCCCCAUGAGCAGGAAGUCAGAGGAGCAGCAGUGUAUGACCGGGAUGGGAUGGAUGACUUACGUAUGCUAACACUUGAAAAUGCUUAUACUAUGGAACAGAAAAGAUUUACAAAACUAGUUUUAAACCAGUAAAGUAGCACUCAGCUGCAUCAAAGCCUCACUGUCAUGAUUUUUAGCUUCUUCCCAAAUUGACCAUUAUGGCCACUUCCUAAAUGGCAGUUCUGGCCAAUGCCCAGAUUCAGGUUAACACACUAUUUAUAAACUGGAACGGAAAUUGCUCCCUACAUCCCUGCCCAUGGCGAUAAUUCCAGGGCUGACAGAGCAGCUCUCUACACUGGGAAAGUACAUACCUCUUUCCUUCUGUGUCUUCAGGGUGUUAUUCCUUCGGCAGAUGUGUUAAAAUGGGACAAGACAUGAUAAAAGUUUUAAAAAUAAUUUAGGAUGUGGGUGGUUUUGCUGUUGCACGUUUUAAGCAGAUGACACACAUCUCACUAACCCCAAAUGUGAAAAAACAGUUAAUGCUAGAAUGUAACCUUUCACUAAUCUCUACUUCAAAAAUAUAGCUCCAGUUACACCGAAGAGUUGCAUCCAGAUUUCUAGCACUGCUCCAAAAAUCUCAGCCAGCAAUUACGUUGUGUUGUUUCAGACUGCCACCUGAUGGUGAGGAACAAGCUUGUUAGCUAAGGUACCCUGAUCGCUCCUCUCUUGACAGCUGCUGCCCACUCGGUAACGGAGUCCCAAUUACCCAACGCACCAUCAGAUACGCAGGUUUCUCAAGAACCAAACCUUUCCUUCCCCCUCCCGGUGAUCUCCAGAACAACUCUCGUUCCAGCUCCACCUCGCUAGCGGGCCAACAUGUCGAGCUGCUCCGCAUUUGCACCCCUGCUGCACUUCUGGCAGAGGGAAUAUUUUUUAUUUAUUUUUUAAUUAUAUCUUUUACAGAAUUGGACUGCAUGAGCUGGAUCGGGGCUAACAGACAUAGCUUACUAAUUGCCCUGGACAUUUUUAUCCUAGAGCCUCAUUCCUGCAGAUCACUGAAGCUUACUGCUUGCUUUAUCUACCACAGCUCAUAGAGCAAUUUAAACAGAACAAGAACUGCAGGUUUCCAUUUCUUCCCUCUUCUGACAUAGAUGAACACAGUCAGCGCUCCUUCACUCAGUACUGGCUUUCUCCUAUUACUGGUGAAGAUGCUGUUUCUUGUAGAUUACUUCCCUAAUAGAAAGAUUUUUAAUUCUCUCUUCCCCAUGGGGAAUAUUUCUAUUUACUUCUUGGGAACCUUUGGAGAAAAACCAAAACAUCAGUGCUGUUGAUUAGAUUACCUUCCCUAAUAAAACAAGCAAUAGAUUUGUUAAUCCUAUUCAAAUGCUCAGAAGCUGAGCACACUCACUCCCCAAGACACUCUAAUGGAAAACAAAGUUAAACUUCUGACCAUCCCCCAUAGGGAGCGAUCAGUGAAAAUGCAACCGGCAGUAUCGCUAAAUCCACACUUCUAAUUUGCACCAUUCUCACCAGUCCGGACUCAUCUCUUGAACAGAGGACAGGCACAUCUGCAGUUCUGGCUGUGAGCUCACCCAGCCUGCUUCCACCACUCCUUUUCCUGAGGCAGCAAUCUUUGUUGGUAAGAUUUUGUGUUUCUCCUGUAUGCACUGAUCCAUGGGUAUUAAGCCAUUCCUUGUGGGCAACCUGUGUUUCUGGAAUCUACUUCUCCAGUUGUUGUUUCUGCCAUGUAUUUACCUGCAUCUGCUGGCAGCUCACAGGUAAGUCUUCAGAAAACUCUCCCCAAAUUUAGGACAGUCCAUUUAUGAGUUGUUACAUUUUCAUGCAAAUUCCACAUUUCAGCCAGCAUUAUUAUUAGCUCAUUUUUCUGUGGAUGUAGAAUUUUUGCUCUGUGGCAAUGCAAUUUUCCUGUGUUUAGGAACUCCUUCGACACCUAUCUUUGUAUUUUCUCCUCAGCAAUGCAAUGAAGAAACACUCGGAAGCCACAUUUUUGACCUUAGUUUUCCCAAAACAGCAGCAACUAAUCACUAGGUCAGACUGGGAACUAGAACUUGGUGGCACCAUCCUCCACCUCAUGCUUCCUUCAGGGAAAGGUCCUCUGCAGGGUAAGUGUCCUUCCUGCAGCUGAGUGGUCACAGCAUGAGCAGCAGCAGCCACUCCUGUUUCCAGGGGAGGCGGUAAAUUUUCCAGUGCAACAAAGGGGCUGUAACUAAAUGAAAGGACUGCAAGUUGUCCAUUUUUAAACAGGUACAGCAGGGCUUCAGUUUAAGGUCUUUAAGCACCGCAAAAGGUAAGUGGUAGUGACGGCCUAGGACUAAUCGCCUCCUCUCACGCCCCUUUUUGAUCAAGCACUAGCAUGAUCUGGCAGCAGGGAACAGGUAUUUUGCUUGAAACCGAGAUGACACAAUUCAUUUAUGUCAUUGUUAUCCCAUACAUUCAAAUCUUCUGUAGGAGAUGAGGCACUUCCUUGGGCUGUUCCAUAUCGAUGAACGGGGCGGCGCACGAGCAGCCCCCUCUUACAAAAGGUCACAGCAAAUGUCUACUUAUCCUGACUCAGCACUGCGGAAAAAAAUUACUUCCUUAUCUUAAAGAACUUAGACCAGAAAGAUGAAGGACAAUAACUUAAACAUUUACAUAUUGUCUCCACUGUUUGACAGUCAAUACUAAACUUAUAAAGCUGCUAAUACAAAAUAAUAGCUUCAUGAAAGAGCAAUCUCAUUUCUCUUAGGGCACGUAGGCUGAAUCAGAAGGAUGAGAUGCUAUUUAUCAGAAACUUUCCACUUUUCUGCGGCAGAUACGACGCACAUAUCUAAAAGUGACAUUUCCUUGUACCACGGUAAUCACAUUUCCAGUUGUGAUUCUGAACAGGCAACUCUUGAAAACAAGUAAAACCAAACAACUUACCAGUACCUGCCUUCCCACUUGUGUAACACCCUUCUAGCAACUUAACAGUUUCUGCAGAACUAUCAAGAAAGAUAUGUAUUUUUCUACUGUCUUUAGUGUUACAAUGGGUGAAAGUCAUGAGAGCUGCCAUCAUUUAAUCAUUACCGCCUCUCUAAACUGUAUGGACAGCUACCCCAAAAAGGUCAAAUCCUUUUGAUAAAAGCAAGAAUGAUUCCAGAACUUCAAAUUAAAAAGACACAACCACACUUUUUUGUCAACAUGUAAUGCCCUGGGUUUAUUUUGUGAGAGUUCUGUCACAAUUUUUCCAGGUGGGAUUAAAAACCUUAAGGAUAAUGUAUGCCAUUGGAGUGGGCAUUCAGACUUCGGUACUGACAAAGCACUAAUAGUAGUCUGUUAAGUACCAUUCUCUUCACAGAAGAGAGGUCAAAUAUUUCCAAAGGAAGGCACCCGAUAGUUGUGGUUCUGGCCUUGCAGCCUUCUGGAGAAUCUUAAAAGGAAAAAAGCUGGCUGUUUUAGAAACUGGAAUGAUGAUACACGUACAGCAAUUACUGCAUUCUUCUCCCUUAUAUCCUUUUUCUUAAGAACAAGUAAAGAAUGAAGUCUUAAAAACAGUUACA